UACAGAGGUCUCAAGCGUUGUUCGGAUUCAUUGGGCGUAAAGGGCUCGUAGGCGGCCAACUAAGUCGGACGUGAAAUCCCUCGGCUUAACCGGGAACUGCGUCCGAUACUGGAUGGCUUGAGUUCGGGAGAGGGAUGCGGAAUUCCAGGUGUAGCGGUGAAUGCGUAGAUAUCUGGAGGAACACCGGUGGCGAGGGCGGCAUCCUGGACCGACACUGACGCUGAGGAGCGAAAGCCAGG
rnacentral:rRNA from 1 species